AGUUGCAGGGAUGCCGCUGGUUCCCUGACUCUGUUCCCCUCACCUGUGCUGUCACCUAAACGGUUUACUUACCUGUUGCUUCUGUUAUUUGUUCUCACAGAACCUUUUUCACCUUUUGUCGCCUUAUCCUGCACAAAAGUGCACAAAACCCCACAGCACAUCUGGCUGCCAGUAAGACGGAGCACAUUUAAGGGUUGUCUGAGCGGCGGCGAUCAAAGAGAAAGAUGGAGGUUAACUGACCAGACCCGAGAACGUCCACACAGGAACCUGAGGGACUUGUCUCUGUUAGCCCAGGUACCCAAUAAUCUGACACACACACACACUCAAUCAGCAGAGAGCGGAAGGGUAACCACUGGGGAUUUCAGGAUCCGUAAGGUUCAAACUAACUUUGUCAUUUCACUCAUGAAGCUGUAGCCUUUUCACACAGUAUCCACAACCUCGCCACAAAAUAGCUUAGCGCCAACUCCGGCUUCGAUUCUGUCGUGAAGAUAUUCCUUCCUGGAAUACAGAAGUCCUAUAAAGUGAGUAUAAGUUAUAUUGUGUGCAUCCCUAGAGAGGAAACCAAUGACUAGUCUUGCAGUAAGAAGUUAGACGUUCUGCCGCUAUAUCUCAAAGUAACAAUCCACGCCCAAGGACUGAGUGAGUGGUGCAUUUGUGCUGGAAGUUAAGUUGGAAGUUAUAAAAACACACACACAAAAAAAAAACAAUAAAAGACGAGUGUGUGAAUGUGUGUGAG